AAAGAAGCCUGAAUGACUUGAAGCAAGAAAAUAAAAGGAAAAUGUACCUGAUGGUCGAGGAAAACUGCCAGCCAGACCAAAGGGCUGAUGUGUCACUUGUGGAUGAAGUCUGCAACUAUACAAAAAAAGAAAUCUUGAUCUAUAGAAAGAGAGUUGAAGAUCUUGAACAAGGAUUGGAUAGAACCAUUCGUAAUUC